GCAGCCUGAUGCAGCCAUGCCGCGUGUGUGAAGAAGGCCUUCGGGUUGUAAAGCACUUUCAGUCAGGAGGAAAGGUUAGUAGUUAAUAGCURCUAGCUGUGACGUUACUGACAGAAGAAGCACCGGCUAACUCCGUGCCAGCAGCCGCGGUAAUACGGAGGGUGCGAGCGUUAAUCGGAAUUACUGGGCGUAAAGCGUACGCAGGCGGUUUGUUAAGCGAGAUGUGAAAGCCCCGGGCUCAACCUGGGAACUGCAUUUCGAACUGGCAGACUAGAGUGUGAUAGAGGGUGGUAGAAUUUCAGGUGUAGCGGUGAAAUGCGUAGAGAUCUGAAGGAAUACCGAUGGCGAAGGCAGCCACCUGGGUCAACACUGACGCUCAUGUACGAAAGCGUGGGGAGCAAACGGGAUUAGAUACCCCGGUAGUCCACGCCGUAAACGAUGUCUACUAGAAGCUGGGGUCUUCGGACAACUUUUUCAAAGCUAACGCAUUAAGUAGACCGCCUGGGGAGUACGGCCGCAAGGUUAAAACUCA
rnacentral:rRNA from 1 species